rnacentral:rRNA from 1 species
UACCCGCAGCACAAGUGGUGGUCAUUAUUAUUGGGCCUAAAGCGUCCGUAGCAGGCUUGUUAGAUGCCUGGGUAAAUCGAUGCGCUCAACGCAUCGACUUCCGGGUAGACCGGCAAGCUCGAGACCGGGAGAGGUGUAGGCUACUCGAGGGGUAGGGGUAAAAUCCUGUAAUCCUUCGGGGAGGACCAGUGGCGAAGGCGCUACACUAGAACGGCUCUGACUGUGAGGGACGAAGCCCUGGGGCGCAAACCGG